GAUGAACGCUAGCGGCAGGCCUAAUACAUGCAAGUCGAACGGUGUCUUCGGACAUAGUGGCGCACGGGUGCGUAACACGUAUGCAACCUACCUUACAUUGGGGGAUAGCCUUUCGAAAGGGAGAUUAAUACCGCAUAAGACAGUAACUAGGCAUCUAGUAGCUGUUAAAGAUUUAUCGAUGUAUGCUGGGCAUGCGUCCAAUUAGUUAGUUGGUGAGGUAAAGGCUCACCAAGACGAUGAUUGGUAGGGGAACUGAGAGGUCAAUCCCCCACACUGGCACUGAGAUACGGGCCAGACUCCUACGGGAGGCAGCAGUAGGGAAUAUUGGGCAAUGGGCGCAAGCCUGACCCAGCCAUGCCGCGUGCAGGAAGAAGGCGUUCUGCGUUGUAAACUGCUUUUAUAUAGGAAGAAACGGCCCUUGCGAGGGACAUUGACGGUACUAUAUGAAUAAGCACCGGCUAACUCCGUGCCAGCAGCCGCCGUAACAC
rnacentral:rRNA from 1 species